CUACGUAGGGGGCGAGCGUUGUCCGGAAUGAUUGGGCGUAAAGGGCACGUAGGCGGCUUUGCAAGUCAGUAGUGGAAGUCCAUUUUUCAAGGAUGGAAGUGCUACAGAAACUGCGGAGCUUGAGUGCAGGAGAGGUUAUCGGAAUUCCCGGUGUAGCGGUGAAAUGCGUAGAGAUCGGGAGGAACACCAGUGGCGAAGGCGGGUAACUGGACUGCAACUGACGCUGAGGCGCGAAAGUGUGGGGAGCAAACAGGAUUAGAUACCCUGGUAGUCCACACUGUAAACGAUGAAUGCUAGGUGUAUGAGGUAUCGACCCCUUCUGUGCCGCAGUAAACACAGUAAGCAUUCCGCCUGGGGAGUACGGUCGCAAGAUUAAAACUCAAAUGAAUUGACGGGG
rnacentral:rRNA from 1 species